GAUGAACGCUGGCGGCAUGCUUAAUACAUGUAAGUCGAACGAGGUGCUUUUGUCUUCGGAUGGAAGUAUCCUAGUGGCGAACGGGUGAGUAACGCGUUGGUGACCUGCCCCGAAGUGUGGGAUAACAGUUCGAAAGGACUGCUAAUACCACAUGUGAUCGCUUGGAUCAGAUGCCUUGCGAUUAAAGGAGUAAUCCGCUUUGGGAGGGGCCUGCGUCCCAUCAGCUAGUUGGUAAGGUAACGGCUUACCAAGGCUUCGACGGGUAGGGACCUGAGAGGGUGGCCCCCACAAUGGAACUGAAACACGGUCCAUACACCUACGGGUGGCUG
rnacentral:rRNA from 1 species